AGAUGCGAUCAUACCAGCACUAAAGCACCGGAUCCCAUCAGAACUCCGAAGUUAAGCGUGCUUGGGCGAGAGUAGUACUAGGAUGGGUGACCUCCUGGGAAGUCCUCGUGUUGCAUCCC
rnacentral:rRNA from 1 species